UACGUAGGGGGCAAGCGUUGUCCGGAUUUAUUGGGCGUAAAGAGCGUGUAGGCGGCCUGAAAGGUCAGCUGUGAAAACUCGAGGCUCAACCUCGAGACGUCGGUUGAAACCAUCUGGCUAGAGUCCGGAAGAGGAGUGUGGAAUUCCCGGUGUAGCGGUGAAAUGCGCAGAUAUCGGGAAGAACACCCGUGGCGAAGGCAGCCCCCUGGGCUAAGAUUGACGCUCAUGCACGAAAGCGUGGGGAGCAAACAGG
rnacentral:rRNA from 1 species